UACGGAGGGUGCAAGCGUUAUCCGGAUUCACUGGGUUUAAAGGGUGCGUAGGCGGAUUAGUAAGUCAGUGGUGAAAGCCCAUCGCUUAACGGUGGAACUGCCAUUGAUACUGCUAGUCUUGAGUAUGGUUGAGGUGGGCGGAAUGUGUCAUGUAGCGGUGAAAUGCUUAGAUAUGACCCAGAACACCAAUUGCGAAGGCAGCUCGCUAAGCCAUAACUGACGCUGAGGCACGAAAGCGUGGG
rnacentral:rRNA from 1 species